CUCUUCCGGGACGGGGGGAGAAGGCGGAAGUGCUGUGGGGACGGUGCCGGCGGAGGGCUCAGGGCUGCUCCCCGAUGGUGUGUGGCGGCUGCUGGCUCCAGGCGCUUUCGCUUCAGGCUCAGUAUGGCGACGGCGGCGGCGGGGGGAGCUGGACAGGAGAAACAGCUCGCUCCGACUCUGCUCAGUUUCUUCAUCUACAACCCCAAACUAGGGCCCAAGGAGGGAGAGGAAGAAAAGAAGAUUCUCUUCUAUCACCCAAAUGAAGUAGAAAAGAAUGAAAAAAUUAGAAAUGUGGGACUCUGUGAAGCUAUAGUACAAUUUACAAGGACCUUCAGUCCAACAAAACCUGCAAAAUCCCUACAUACGCAGAAGAAUAGACAAUUUUUCCAUGAACCUGAAGAAAACUUCUGGAUGGUCAUGGUUGUACGGAAUCCCAUAAUAGAAAAACACAAAGAUGGAAAGCCAGUCUAUGAAUAUCAGGAAGAAGAAUUAUUGGACAAGGUGUAUAGUUCGGUCCUACAGCAGUGCUACAGCAUGUACAAGCUUUUCAAUGGCACAUUCCUGAAAGCCAUGGAAGAUGGAGGUGUGAAAGUUCUCAAGGAGAGACUAGAAAAAUUCUUUCAUCGGUACUUGCAGACACUGCAUUUACAGUCUUGCGAUCUGCUGGAUGUGUUUUGUGGAAUCAGCUUCUUUCCCCUGGAUAAAAUGACUUAUUUGAAAAUUCAGUCAUUUAUUAAUAGGAUGGAAGAAAGCCUGAGCAUAGUCAAGUAUACUGCAUUUCUCUAUAAUGACCAGCUUAUCUGGAGUGGACUGGAACAAGAUGACAUGAGAAUUUUGUACAAGUAUCUCACGACAUCUCUGUUUCCAAGGCACAUGGAGCCUGAGUUAGCAGGAAGAGAUUCUCCAAUACGUGCUGAAAUGCCAGGAAAUCUACAACACUAUGGAAGGUUUCUUACUGGACCUUUAAAUCUGAAUGAUCCAGAAGCAAAAUGCCGUUUCCCCAAAAUAUUUGUUAACACUGAUGACACUUAUGAAGAGCUUCAUUUAAUUGUUUAUAAGGCCAUGAGCGCAGCUGUCUGCUUUAUGAUUGAUGCUUCGAUUCCACCUACGCUGGAGUUCUGUCGUAAACUGGACAGCAUUGUUGGGCCUCAACUCACCGUGCUAGCAUCAGAUAUAUGUGAACAAUACAACAUCAACAAGAGAAUAUCAGGGGCUGAGAAGGAGCCUCAGUUUAAGUUCAUCUAUUUCAAUCACAUGAACCUGGCAGAGAAAAGUACCAUUCACAUGAGGAAAACACCCAGUGUAUCACUUGCAUCAGUUCACCCUGACCUCAUGAAGAUUCUCGGUGACAUCAACAGUGACUUCUCCAGAGUUGAUGAAGAUGAGGAAAUUAUUGUGAAGGCAAUGAGUGAUUACUGGGUCGUUGGGAAAAAGUCUGACCAGCGAGAACUGUAUGUUAUUUUGAAUCAAAAAAAUGCAAACCUGAUAGAAGUUAAUGGUAAGGAUUGUUUUUAUUACAUUUAAACACAGUUACUACUAAAAUGUAUGUCCCUGGAGAAGUAAUAAAAUCCAUCUCACAAGAAAGCUAGAGAGGGACUGAUCUAUGAUAGACCAGAAGAAGUGAAGAAACUUUGUGCAACACAGUUUAAUAAUAUUUUCUUCUUGGAUUGAUCUGCAAAGGGCUGAUUUAUUAGAAGAUGUCAAUGUCAGACACUUGUUCAAUAUGAGAAGUUAUUAGUCAUAUUAUUGACUGGAAUAAUGACAAUAGUAAAGCAAUACUUGCUUUGUAAGAAUCAAAAUUUCUACUAAAAUCUGUAAACUCUGAUCAUAAAAUUUUUAGAUUUUAAAAAUGUUUAUGUGCAAACUAAACAAAACCUGGCCUGAAUUCAUCUGUACCAUUCCAUUCUGCUAUUGUUAUGUGAAUAUUUUACUGGAAAAUAAAACUAUUAAUUGCUACACUUUUAA